rnacentral:hammerhead_ribozyme from 1 species
AUCCAGUUGACGAGUCCCAAAUAGGACGAAACGCACGUUCAAAAU